UCGUGCGAUACAACUUGUCGAUACAUAAUCGCGAGUUGCGCGCGCAUUUGUUAAGCUGAAGGAUUGUUAAGGUUAACUCGGACUCGUGACGUACAUACGCGCACAGUGUUGUUCGCGUCUCUAGCGUUAAUUGUUUUUUCCAUUACUUGUUACUGCUCGCUAUCACGUUCGGCGAUAACAAUUGGAAAAUUCGCUCGCGUGACCAACGUGUGCGAGACGUUUGCAGCCACGAAAAACUAAAUCAACGCUCGCAGCGGUCUCCGAGAUCGGAGAGUCUGCCAACAACCGUGUCCACACAGCUGUCUGCAUAGCGAUCGGAAUUUUAUUCGCGAUAAAUUGUUGCCGACAUGUCUGUACGUCGGAAGAGUGAACCGUUUAUGACUCAGCGAGUGUGGGACACGAUCAAAGUCGCGGUGCAUCAGAGAAGCUUACCCAGUAACGAACGUAUGGUACGGCACCUGGCACGUGUCUACGGCUUCACGGAGCAACAGGCUCAAGAAGAACUCAACAAGGCGGUCGAGGACGGCCUCGUCCUGCUGAAAAAAGUACCCACGAAAAACGGCGUCGAGCAGGAGAGCUACAGAUUGCCACCGGUGGACGUGUCGGAGAAUCACGACAAUCACGAUUGGUACUGCUGCAAAUGUCAGCGAGCAGGUGCGGUCGAAUGCUGCGAACAGUGUCACCGGGUUUACCACUCGGAGUGUCACGUGCCCAGCCACGUUAAAUUAAAGAUCUGCAACUUUUGCGAGAAGAUAAACAGCGACACAUAUCCCGACAAGGUCGACCUCAAUCACAUUCUCCGUUUCACGUGCGGCCACCUGAAAGCGAAAUUACCACCGGAGAUUACGAAUCGUACCAUUGUCUUCAACAAUGCCCCAAUCGUCACACCAGCCAAUGGCUAUUCCGGUCCUACUUGGGUGAGCGAGGGCGAAGACGCGUGGCGGCCGGGUGUUCUCGUAAAACACCACAUGGAUCUGGCAAUAAUGGACACGAAGACCAGCAACAAUGAGUAUAAGAAUCUCGCCGAGUUCGAAGCCGACGCGCACAACAUUCUACAUAAUAUCAUAGUGUAUCACGGAGUAGAUCACAGCGUAAUAGGAGAAAUGGGCCACACAAUGUAUCAAGACUGUUGUUACGACCUCCAAGAGAUUCGCCGUUGCGCGGAUUGUUAUCGUAUAUCGAACGAGAAAUCCGAGAAAAUGUGGUUCUGCAUACCGUGCAAUCCUCCUCAUCAGUUGGUUUAUGCAAAGCAAAAGGGAUAUCCAUAUUGGCCCGCGAAAGUUAUGCAGGUCAACGGCAACGUAUAUGACGUACGUUUCUUCGGUGGUCAUCAUAUGAGAGCCAACAUCGAGAAAGUCUUUAUACGGCCGAUCUCUGCCACGUUACAAAGUUUGCAGCCUUCGGAGAAAGGAAAGUGGAAAGAAAUGAAGAUAAAGAAAUCAACGGCUUGGAACCGGGCCUUUGAAGAGUUGAAGCAUCAUCAACAUUUGCUGCAAAAGCUGAGCAAGAUUAAGGAGGAUUCCAACACUGCGGAUGGUCCCCUGCCUGCGAAAAUACGGAAGUUGGAGUCGUCGAGCUCAAAGAGCACGUCGCAAGGUUCGAAUUUGCCAAAUCAGCUGAUCAAAGAUUUGAGAGUGAGGGUCGAGCGUCUAAGUUCGGACAGCAAUAGUGAAACGCAGAUGACAAACGACGAGCCGGAUAAUAAAGAGCACUCGGUUUCGAAAACCGAGAAUGCGGAGAAUGCGGAGAAUGAGGAGAAUGAGGAGAGGCAGGUGCCGCAUUUACCCGUAGCGGAGGACGAGCCCGCUCGCGAAAUAACGAGCACGUGUCCGCUGGGUUUAAAGAAGGAAGGUUCGCAGGAGGACAUGGUCACGUCCAGUUGUCAAGAACCGAGGUCGAAGUGCGUCCUCGUGCAAACCGAACAGAUACAAACCGACGGACUCCCCGCCAAGAUCAAAAGAGAACGCAGAACUUCGGAGCAACCAACAACGACGGCGCUGGAAAAAUUACGCCGUGAGUUGGAGCUGGAAAAGUGCAGGGAACUGGAAAGACUGCAGGCGGAACAUGCCAAAGAGUUGCGACAAUUGACCGACAGACAUCAACAGAUCGUGUCUGACAUCAAAAAGAAGCAAUGGUGUUACAAUUGCGAGGCUGAAGCGAUAUAUCAUUGUUGCUGGAAUACCGCGUACUGUAGCACAGAUUGCCAACAGGUUCAUUGGCAGCGUGAACAUAAAAGAGUGUGCAGGCGUAAGCGUUAAUUCACGCGACGAGUGUGACGAGUACAAUAAUUAGCCUCAAGGAAGAAGAGUCCAAGCAAAAGAAGAUAAAACUUGUUCUCGUAUACACACGUGUACGUGUGUAUAUAAUAUAUACGAUACAUAUAUGUGAAUGCAUAUAUACAGAGUGUCCUAGAACUAUCGCAGUCGUUCUAGAGGUGCAAGGGGGUAAGUAAUAAAGAGUCGGUUAAAUUUGUCUGAUGUCAGGCUGAUUAAAGGCAUAUUAUAUGCAAGUAAAAGCACAGUGCAUCUGGGGGUAGACUGUAUAUAUACAUGUAUUAAAGCACUUUGACAUUUUAUAUAUAUAUAUAUAUAUUCUUGACACCAAUUCAAUAUAUGCCUUUAUAAACCUUCCUAUAGUGGAAGAACUGUUAUGUGUAUACACAAAUAAAGUUUUUGGCAAAGACUGUUCUUACUUGUAUCGGGCGACAUAACACGCUAGUUUUUAAAUAAUAAUAAUUUUAUAUGUCUCUUGAUAUUUGGCAAAUUUCACAUUAAUCAGUUUAUAUACACGGAAUAACUCAUAAUAAUAAUUAUAACUUUUUUUGUUAAUCUUUUAAACUUGUUACUUUAUUGGAUAUGACAAAUUUUUGAUUCUUAAUGUAACAUGAGUAAUGAACUUUAAUGGCAACUAUGUGUAUGUGUCUCAGUAUGAACAAAUGUACAUUGUUACCGGAUUAUUGAUUAUAAGUUAUUGAUGAAAA
rnacentral:misc_RNA from 1 species